rnacentral:lncRNA from 1 species
UACCCUUUUCUUGUUAUUUUGUUUUUUGUAUUAUUUGAAUUGUUGUUGAAUUGUUAUUGAAUUUUGUGUUUUUGAUGAUUUGUUGUUUUGUUUUUGUUGUUGUUGUUGCCUGAUUUGUCCUUUGAUGAUUGAUGAUGUCCUAUUUGGAAAUUUUGUAGUUUAAGGUUUUUUUAAGUGUGUUUGUGUUUAUCUGUUGUGUUGAUUAAUAUGUUUUGAAUUUUGUUGUUUUGAUGGAUAUGAAUGUUUGUACUAUGAAGCACGGACAAUGACAGGUCGAUACCAAAAAUAAUUUGAAAAAAUUAGAUAAUUGAUAGUAAUCAUAUGUGUCGUGUUGGUGUCAGGCACUGGGACAUGUUGGACACCGGGACAUGCUUUCGAUGAGAAGUUUCCGUGCUACAGACUGUAUGUAUGAGUUUCAUGGGGUUUGUGAGAUGAGAGAUUGAAUGUGAUCUUGAAGUUAAUUGUGAUGGACAUGAUAAGGUUUCAGAUGUUUAUUUAUUGAGUAAUGACUUAGCCUGCAUAGUUGUUUAGUGUAGGGCUUGCUACUUCUUGUGUUAAUUGUAAAUAGGUCAGGAUUUUAUUCUUAAUAUUUAGAAAAGAUUAAAUAGAGGACAGAGAUCUUGGAAGACAUAUAUAAAUUAGAGGUAUGCUAUUAGGAGUAUGAAGCACUGCCAAAUACAUGGGCACCUGACACAUGUUAAUAUCAGUAAUAGUUUAAGAAAAUGAAAGUGAUUAAAUGUAGCCACAUGAUUUGGUGUUGUAUCAGUGUCAGAUACCAGACAUGCCUUCAAUCCAAAGUGUCAUCUUUACUAAAUCCUAGUGUGCUAUUGGAAGUAAACAAUGCUCAAUUUGCUUCUGUUGUCUCUUGUUAUGGGUGGUGAGUGGCUCCAAUUGCUAGUUUAUGUUAACUGCAAUUGGUAUUCUCCUCUACAUCCCAUUAAUCCUUUGCCAUUGGCAUUUGGUCUGUCACAGUCUCCUGUGAGCCUCUCCUUGUCGAUUGGAUAUUCAGCACUGUUAGAGUAUUUGCUUGGAGUGUCCACUAUCUCUUGUGAACCUCUCCUUGUCGAUUGUUGUGAUGAGGACUGGGUAGGGGAGUCCUUCAGUUCUUUGCUCCUCUUAGAUUCAGUUUAUUGCCGCGAUUCUUGAACUACAUUGGUUUUCAAUUGUCAUCACUUUCACAGUUCCUGUCAUCCUUGCAAUGUUCUAAAUUUUCUUACUUGCCUCUCCUCUGUUUGACUUUAGAAGUACACUAGUUCAGGAGCAUUAUACGUUGUGGUCAUUCCGUGUUAAGUAGGAGUAGUUUAGUUUAUUCGUUGGACUGAGAGACAAAUACUUGAUAUGAUUA